CCCCAUGAGCGGGCUGAAUCCUUAAUUACUGCUCAGCUGCUGGGCAGAGAGUUCCCCAGAAAAGUGCCUACAGGGGCCCCACCCCUCCACCUAGCUCCAAACGCUUCUGUGAAGCCUGCAGCUUGACCCUAACAGCACUUACAAGGAAACCACAAACCAGUUACAGCCUCUUGGGCAACACUUUCCUCCUCAGGCCGGUGCAAGUGGGGCUGAGCACUGUGACAGAAGCUGAGUCCUUGGCACUGAUUCUGUUUCUGCUUCUGACUUCACUAGCACAGAUUGCUCUGAGCUGAAUCUGUCCCUUACUGAAGCCUGGCACUGGAUAGGAAAGGAAAUGUGCUCUGGCUCCAAGACCCCUGGGUCUCUCUCACCAGCACCACAGGCACCAUGUGCUGUGGGAGCUUUGAUAGCUGUGAGGAAGAGCAGGGACAGAGGUGUAAAAGAAGAAGAAAAAGAUCUUUUUGUUAAAUGCAGUGGAGAGGAAAACCUUUAUCCUUGAGCAGCUCUUCCAGCAAGCACCGCUGAGGCCAGCUGGAGGAGCAAGGAGCAUUCCCUGUGCUGCUUUCGUAGAAGUGUGGCCUGUCCUGGAGCACCGAGGCAGCGCUGCGAUGGGAGCACCCCGAAGGGAGGCAGUCAGGGAGGUGCCACUACCCAACCUGUGACCCUGAGCCAUCAAGGGAAAGCAAAGCAAAUACUGGAGAUAAAAGUGCCCUGGCUCUGCCCUCGGGGCUGUUACUGAUUAGCCUUUGGUGGGCACCAGCAACAGCCACCAGGAAGGGGCUGGGAGAGAUUUCAAGCUGGGCUCUGCUCUUUCUUGGUUGCCUUUCCCAGUCCUUCUGCCUCCUCCUGUACAUUCUGAGCAGCAUUAACUCAACGCUGUGGGAAGGGACCAGCCUGUGCCCUGCGCUCAGAGGGCACUCACUGGACCUGCCCUGCCCACCCCCGUGGUGCUGCAGGAGCUGCUCAUCCUCUGAUCCUCUGCUGCCUGUUACAGCAAGUGCCAGCCCCGCAGCAGCUCCAGGCCGUACCUCUGCCUGCCUGCUGACAAAGCACAGCUCGUCCUUGCACUCCAGUUUGAUCGAGGAUGGACCUACAGGCACAAGAAAAUCCUCAUCAGAGCUCAGCCAAAGAAGGGCAGAGCCUUCAGGGGUCACAGUGACCACGAAUGUGCCCAGCCCAUGAUGUCCUGUUGGCAUAAAGCUUUCUGCCAACCCUUCCCCUCAGCUGUCUGGGCAUGCUGGGAGCACAGCUCAGCCAUGCAGCCCCUCAAGGGUUUCAGUCACUGUUUAAUUACCACUCCAGAGGGCACCAGGGGCUCCCAGCAGCCAGGUUCUCCUGCAGAGAUGUGCUGCAUCCUGCAUGCAACCAGAGGAAGGAAGGGUGCCAGCUGCUUCUGAGGGACCACAGAAGGUUCUGAGCACAGGGAUCUGCAGCAGGCCACAGAACUACUGAGAGGUUUUGUCCACUGGCAUUAGGGCACAGCUGCCACUU